UUUUUCUUGGUGUAGUGGCACGCAAAGCUUUGACCUUUGAAGAGGAGGAGAUGAUCCCCCAGAAAAAG
rnacentral:tRNA from 1 species